rnacentral:lncRNA from 1 species
GUCGAUGCUCCAGUGUUCCUGGCUAUCUUUAUUGUCCCUCACUCACUUUCUCUCUAAGCCUCUUCCUCCUUGCCAACAAAAAUAUUUCUAGCCCUUCUAUCUCCAGCAACUUGCUCUAUCACUGCGUAACAGAUGGACAGGGCAGUCUUUUCUGCAAAGGAGCAGGACCCAGUGCUUCUGCUGGUUGGCAAUGGGCUGGGUGAGUGUGCUAAAGCCAUCACAGACUGGGAUAAACAAAAGAGUUGCAGAGAACAAGAGAGCACCUUAAAACUCUUCAUGAUGAGGGUCUGCAAGAGAAUUUAGUAAAAGAGCCACGUGAGCAAACAUUUACACUGGAAAAGCCUCUCUCCCAUCCGGGAAGCUGGGAGCAUUCUGCUGGGGGAGGUUUUUGUUUGCCUUGCACAGAGGCAGGUGUUUCUGAGGGCACUGCUGAGCCCCGUCCUCGGCAUCACCCACCCAGCAGCACAUCUCGAGCUCCACCAGAGCGUCUCUCAGGAGCCUUUCAGCAGGAAUUCAUCCAAGUCACCUCCAGAAGUGCCUUUCUGAGCCAGGGAGCAGCCCUGCAGCCCUCUCCAGACCAGGUGGGAAAUGCCCUCAGGGGGGUUCCCUCUGACCCAGGUGGGGUCCCUGUCCCUGGGGAUGCAGCACUGGGCUAGACACUGCUACUCCUUGCAAAGGCUUGCUCUGAGCAGUCACUAUCCCUCCCCAGCCAUGCAGACCUCACAGCAUUUAUUUAAUUUAUUCACUUUCACUGACCCUAUGCAGCAAAGCAUUUCAGCAUGGGCUUGACCAUGUGCAUGUGAGUGUUUUUACAGCCUGACCGGGAUUAUUUAUGGGCUUGAUGCUAAGCACAUGGGAAGACGCUUUUCUAGGUUGCUGCCACGGUGCUCAGCAUGGACUGGGAUUUGAUAUCUCACACUGAAUUGUGUGUAUAAGAGAAAGUGGACGCCUUUAUUUUCAUCUGUCUGUCUAUCUAGGUAUAAAAUUGUCAAAUUGUCACCAACUCUUUUUUUUUUUUCAUAUGGUAUUUUACUGUUGUUUGUCACAGCCAGCAAAAUAACUGAACAGAUAACUUCUCAAGUGAAAUGAAAUGGAAAUAGCAUCUGUCUACAAAAAUCAAUUUAGAAACUACCUAUAUAUUUUUGGACUCUGACAAUGGGUAUUUCCAAAACCGUGCCUUAUAAAAUACUUUGAGUGUAAAAAGAUGAAGAAGGAAAAAAAAAAAAACAAAAAAAACAACAACUUUGAGUGUGAAAAGAAGGAAAAAAAAAACAAACUCUGGACAUGAGCUAUCAGACAUCAAUCAGAAAAACUCACUCAGACUCAGAUGCAUGAGCCAAAAUGAACUUCAGAUUGAAAUGGAUGUGAGACAGGCUAUGUUGUCUGAUUUGCUUGGGUUACUUCAUUAUUAAUCUCUUUGCUUCCAUUUACUUUAAUGAUCAUAGCCAAGAAAGUCUCUUUUAUGAAGACCACUUUUUUUUUUUUAAGAACCACAGCUGAAACCCACACUGCACUGUUUUUCUUCAUGACUACAAACAGUAGGGCUGUUCUUACAACAGCUCUGGCUGUAGAUAAAGCACGUGUCAGUGCCACAACCCGUUAGAGGGAGGACCUGGGCUCUGCAGCAUCAGCAGUGGGCACCCCUCUCCAACCACCACAUUAUGAGACAAGCCUGAGGUAGAUAAGGGAGAGGGUAAGAAAUAGAGUUUACUGAAACAGAUGCUGAGCUGAUGGGUCUAGCUUUCAUGUCUAGGAAGGUGGAAGACAGAGAUUUGCUUCAAACUUGCUUUGUGCCAUUGCUGCAUCUGCUCCUUCAGCACAGCUGCCUCCUCCUUGUGGCCUGUCCCAUGCCCCCCCGCAAAUAAAACUCUGGCAGUGGAGUGAUUUUCCUAAAUGAGAUACACCUAAUUAGUAGCUAGUCAUAGACUUGCUGAUCAGGCAGAUUUUCAGCCCUUUGUUUAUUACCUGGCAUAUGCAUCCGUAGCGCAUUUUUACAAGUAAAUAUACACAUUUCAUUAAAAACAUCGUCUCCGCUGCUGCUUCCAUUGCUUUGUUCUGUAAAAGACCCUUGCAAGUAUUCUUAUUUAUUCCCUCUGCCAAAAGAGAGAAAAAAAAAUCACUUCCAUUAUUAUAUUAAUGCAAUUUCAACUAGUUAAUGAAUGAUUCACUGUUGUUAUAUUUUUAAUCUGAGGUGAGUCCUCACAGCAAUGGGGCGAAGCAUCACAGCACUUUAUGAUCAGCGGGAGCAUCGUCCAGUCUGAGUAUGUGGUGGUACAAGCUGCACUCCCAUAGAAAAGCUAGGUAAAUGCCCUGCCCAAAGUAAUGCCAUAAUUCACUUCUAGAGACACAAGUGUGAGUUUCAUCAGGCAGCAGUAUCUGGAGAAAGUGCACUAGUGUACUGGAGCCACUUGCACCA